CGGUGUGAUUCAUGACUGGGGUGAAGUCGUAACAAGGUAGCUGUAGGUGAACCUGCAGAAGGAUCA
rnacentral:rRNA from 1 species